UACAGAGGUCCCAAGCGUUGUUCGGAUUUACUGGGCGUAAAGGGAGCGUAGGUGGCAUUCUAAGUCUGAUGUGAAAGCUCUGAGCUUAACUCAGAAAUGGCAUUAGAAACUAGUUUGCUUGAGGAUUGGAGGGGAGAUUGGAAUUCUUGGUGUAGCAGUGAAAUGCGUAGAUAUCAAGAGGAACACCAGUGGCGAAGGCGACUUACUGGACACAUAUUGACGUGAGGUGCGAAAGCGUGGGGAGCAAACAGG
rnacentral:rRNA from 1 species